GGCCUUUUGGUUGUAAAGCACUUUAAGCGAGGAGGAGGCUACUUGGAUUAAUACUCUAGGAUAGUGGACGUUACUCGCAGAAUAAGCACCGGCUAACUCUGUGCCAGCAGCCGCGGUAAUACAGAGGGUGCGAGCGUUAAUCGGAUUUACUGGGCGUAAAGCGUGCGUAGGCGGCUUUUUAAGUCGGAUGUGAAAUCCCUGAGCUUAACUUAGGAAUUGCAUUCGAUACUGGGAAGCUAGAGUAUGGGAGAGGAUGGUAGAAUUCCAGGUGUAGCGGUGAAAUGCGUAGAGAUCUGGAGGAAUACCGAUGGCGAAGGCAGCCAUCUGGCCUAAUACUGACGCUGAGGUACGAAAGCAUGGGGAGCAAACAGGAUUAGAUACCCUGGUAGUCCAUGCCGUAAACGAUGUCUACUAGCCGUUGGGGCCUUUGAGGCUUUAGUGGCGCAGCUAACGCGAUAAGUAGACCGCCUGGGGAGUACGGUCGCAAGACUAAAACUCAAAUGAAUUGACGGGGGCCCGCACAAGCGGUGGAGCAUGUGGUUUAAUUCGAUGCAACGCGAAGAACCUUACCUGGUCUUGACAUAGUAAGAACUUUCCAGAGAUGGAUUGGUGCCUUCGGGAACUUACAUACAGGUGCUGCAUGGCUGUCGUCAGCUCGUGUCGUGAGAUGUUGGGUUAAGUCCCGCAACGAGCGCAACCCUUUUCCUUAUUUGCCAGCGGGUUAAGCCGGGAACUUUAAGGAUACUGCCAGUGACAAACUGGAGGAAGGCGGGGACGACGUCAAGUCAUCAUGGCCCUUACGACCAGGGCUACACACGUGCUACAAUGGUCGGUACAAAGGGUUGCUACCUAGCGAUAGGAUGCUAAUCUCAAAAAGCCGAUCGUAGUCCGGAUUGGAGUCUGCAACUCGACUCCAUGAAGUCGGAAUCGCUAGUAAUCGCGGAUCAGAAUGCCGCGGUGAAUACGUUCCCGGGCCUUGUACACACCGCCCGUCACACCAUGGGAAUUUGUUGCACCAGAAGUAGGUAGUCUAACCGCAAGGAGGACGCUACCACGGUGUCCG
rnacentral:rRNA from 1 species